GACGAACGCUGGCGGCGUGCCUAACACAUGCAAGUCGAGCGGAGAGAGAUAGUAAUAUUUCUUUCAGCGGCGGACGGGUGAGUAACACGUGGGUAACCUGCCUCGAAAUGGGGGAUAGCCUUCCGAAAGGAAGAUUAAUACCGCAUAACCUCGGAUCUCCGCAUGGAGGACCGAGAAAAGGAGAAAUCCGUUUCGAGAUGGACCCGCGGCGCAUUAGCUAGUUGGUGAGGUAACGGCCCACCAAGGCGACGAUGCGUAGCCGACCUGAGAGGUGAUCGGCCACAUUGGAACUGAGACACGGUCCAGACUCCUACGGGAGGCUG
rnacentral:rRNA from 1 species